CGCAACAGCUAGAGUUUGAUCCUGGCUCAGGAUGAACGCUGGCGGCGUGCCUAACACAUGCAAGUCGAACGGAGUUAUUUGAGGAAGUUUUCGGAUGGAAUCGGAUGACUUAGUGGCGGACGGGUGAGUAACGCGUGGGAAACCUGCCCUGUACUGGGGGAUAACACUUAGAAAUAGGUGCUAAAACCGCAUAAGCGCACGGGAUCGCAUGGUCUUGUGUGAAAAACUCCGGUGGUACAGGAUGGUCCCGCGUCUGAUUAGCCAGUUGGCAGGGUAACGGCCUACCAAAGCGACGAUCAGUAGCCGGCCUGAGAGGGUGGACGGCCACAUUGGGACUGAGACACGGCCCAAACUCCUACGGGAGGCAGCAGUGGGGAAUAUUGCACAAUGGGGGAAACCCUGAUGCAGCGACGCCGCGUGAGUGAAGAAGUAUUUCGGUAUGUAAAGCUCUAUCAGCAGGGAAGAAAAUGACGGUACCUGAGUAAGAAGCCCCGGCUAACUACGUGCC
rnacentral:rRNA from 1 species